rnacentral:rRNA from 3 species
UACGUAGGCAGCAAGCGUUGUUCGGAAUUACUGGGCGUAAAGAGUGUGUAGGCGGUUCUCUAAGUUCCGUGUGAAAUCUCCCGGCUUAACUGGGAGGGUGCGCGGGAAACUGGAGGGCUGGAGUAUGGGAGAGGAAAGCGGAAUUCCUGGUGUAGCGGUGAAAUGCGUAGAUAUCAGGAGGAACACCUGCGGUGUAGACAGCUUUCUGGACCAUCACUGACGCUGAGACACGAAAGCGUGGGUAGCAAACAGG